rnacentral:rRNA from 1 species
UCGCUCAGGAUGAACGCGGGCGGCGUGCCUAAUACAUGCAAGUCGAGCGAACAGACGAGGAGCUUGCUCCUCUGACGUAGCGGCGGACGGGUGAGUAACACGUGGAUAACCUACCUAUAAGACUGGGAUAACUUCGGGAAACCGGAGCUAAUACCGGAUAAUAUAUUGAACCGCAUGGUUCAAUAGUGAAAGACGGUUUUGCUGUCACUUAUAGAUGGAUCCGCGCCGCAUUAGCUAGUUGGUAAGGUAACGGCUUACCAAGGCAACGAUGCGUAGCCGACCUGAGAGGGUGAUCGGCCACACUGGAACUGAGACACGGUCCAGACUCCUACGGGAGGCAGCAGUAGGGAAUCUUCCGCAAUGGGCGAAAGCCUGACGGAGCAACGCCGCGUGAGUGAUGAAGGUCUUCGGAUCGUAAAACUCUGUUAUUAGGGAAGAACAAAUGUGUAAGUAACUAUGCACGUCUUGACGGUACCUAAUCAGAAAGCCACGGCUAACUACGUGCCAGCAGCCGCGGUAAUACGUAGGUGGCAAGCGUUAUCCGGAAUUAUUGGGCGUAAAGCGCGCGUAGGCGGUUUUUUAAGUCUGAUGUGAAAGCCCACGGCUCAACCGUGGAGGGUCAUUGGAAACUGGAAAACUUGAGUGCAGAAGAGGAAAGUGGAAUUCCAUGUGUAGCGGUGAAAUGCGCAGAGAUAUGGAGGAACACCAGUGGCGAAGGCGACUUUCUGGUCUGUAACUGACGCUGAUGUGCGAAAGCGUGGGGAUCAAACAGGAUUAGAUACCCUGGUAGUCCACGCCGUAAACGAUGAGUGCUAAGUGUUAGGGGGUUUCCGCCCCUUAGUGCUGCAGCUAACGCAUUAAGCACUCCGCCUGGGAGACACCCACUGG